AGUGAACGCUGGCGGUAGGCCUAACACAUGCAAGUCGAACGGCAGCACAGUAAGAGCUUGCUCUUACGGGUGGCGAGUGGCGGACGGGUGAGGAAUACAUCGGAAUCUACUUUUUCGUGGGGGAUAACGUAGGGAAACUUACGCUAAUACCGCAUACGACCUACGGGUGAAAGCAGGGGAUCUUCGGACCUUGCGCGAUUGAAUGAGCCGAUGUCGGAUUAGCUAGUUGGCGGGGUAAAGGCCCACCAAGGCGACGAUCCGUAGCUGGUCUGAGAGGAUGAUCAGCCACACUGGGACUGGGACACGGUCCAGACUCCUACGGGAGGCAGCAGUGGGGAAUAUUGGACAAUGGGCGCAAGCCUGAUCCAGCCAUACCGCGUGGGUGAAGAAGGCCUUCGGGUUGUAAAGCCCUUUUGUUGGGAAAGAAAAGCAGCAGGUUAAUACCCCGCUGUUCUGACGGUACCCAAAGAAUAAGCACCGGCUAACUUCGUGC
rnacentral:rRNA from 1 species